UACGGGGGGGGCAAGCGUUGUUCGGAAUUACUGGGCGUAAAGGGCUCGUAGGCGGCCAACUAAGUCGGAUGUGAGAUCCCCAGGCUCAACUUGGGAACUGCAUCCGAUACUGGAUGGCUUGAAUUCGGGAGAGGGAUGCAGAAUUCCAGGUGUAGCGGUGAAAUGCGUAGAUAUCUGGAGGAAUACCGGUGGCGAAGGCGGCAUCCUGGACCGACAUUGACGCUGAGGAGCGAAAGCCAGGGGAGCAAACGGG
rnacentral:rRNA from 1 species